GACGAACGCUGGCGGCGUGCUUAACACAUGCAAGUCGAACGGAAAGGCCCUGCUUUUGUGGGGUGCUCGAGUGGCGAACGGGUGAGUAACACGUGAGUAACCUGCCCUUGACUUUGGGAUAACUUCAGGAAACUGGGGCUAAUACCGGAUAGGAGCUCCUGCUGCAUGGUGGGGGUUGGAAAGUUUCGGCGGUUGGGGAUGGACUCGCGGCUUAUCAGCUUGUUGGUGGGGUAGUGGCUUACCAAGGCUUUGACGGGUAGCCGGCCUGAGAGGGUGACCGGGCACAAUGGGACUGAGGUACGGCCCAGACUCCUACGGGAGGCAGCAGGGGGGAAUAUUGCGCAAUGGGGGGGAGCCUGAUGCAGCAACGCCGCGUGCGGGAUGACGGGCUUCGGGUUGUAAACCGCUUUCGCCUGUGACGAAGCGUGAGUGACGGUAAUGGGUAAAGAAGCACCGGCUAACUACGUG
rnacentral:rRNA from 1 species